rnacentral:tRNA from 3 species
GCCCCUAUAGUUUAACGGAUAGAAUGCAGGGUUCCGAAUCCUGUGAUGGAAGUUCGAUUCUUCCUGGGGGCA